rnacentral:lncRNA from 1 species
UCUCCACUGGAAUCAGCAACUCCCUGGAACUCGGGCCUCUGGCCCCGUCCCUCUUUUCUCCGGCAGGGACGCAGGAUGCCUUGGUGCACUCUAGAGACGGGGACCGGAGGGUGCAGCGCGCCUGGGUGGGGCGAAGGGCGCCGGUCUCCUCACGCCCUCUGACUUUAGGAUACCAGACAGUGUCUCUUCAACCCCACCCCAGGCGCAGGUUUCCAGAAGGCGGGGUGGGUGGGGCCCCCGAUUUCCAGAAGGCGAGUUACCUAGCAGGUGUGUGGGGUGGGCAUUGCUAUUCGGAGAAAAAUCAAGACGUUCCCUUCAGUCCUCCCUCGGUGUUAACGUCUGCUCCAGCUCGCAGCCCGCUGCUGGGCAUUUUAUUAAUGCUUUUACGAGUUAGAAGAGUUGGGAUAAUUUGCCAUCUGGAGUUUCUCUGCCUUGCUGAUCUGAGCUCAGACCUGCCAAUUUACCAGAGAUAAUUGAUAACACCCUGUAACAGCUGAGAGGAAAAUGGAAGAAACGGAGAUACUUUUAGUGAAGCAGAAUAAACCACUGAACAGGAAAAAUGAGGAAGCUGUGAGUACCAGUGGAAGGAACGAGCCAGGAAGAGGGACUGGAACCAUCUCAGAAGCCAUGCCCCUCAGGCUGGAACUUGCCCUGUCUCCUCGCAGAUGAGCUACCUCUUGUGUUUAAGAAUUAAAGGAAGAUGAGCUAGGAAUCAAGAAAUACGCAGAACUGAUUCCUGUCACUGGCGCCACCCUGCCACUUGCCCAGAGCUGUGGUAUAAAUUUUUUUAAUAGGCUGAAAUAAAAAUAUGAAUAGCAUUUUGGUAUUAAGCAUUAAAUUGAUAAAGGCUAUGAGAUACACCUGCUCUCAACCAUGUUAAUUUUUUAUUAUUGGUAUUAAUAAAUUAUUACUUACUAACAUAUUAACAAGAAUUGCAUUGAGAAACAAAGCAUCCACAGGCCAAAUCUUCUGAAUUUCAAAUGUUUAUAUUAAUGCGUUGUAUUCUAGAAAAGUAGAAUUGUCUUAAGUAGCUUUGUAAUAUAAAGUCAUCUAUCAGCCCAUUACACCUAUUAGAAUGUUUUAACCUUUAUUUCCCACUUUUUUGUUUCUAGACUGAGUGUACUUGGUCUGGUAUUUGUGGCAUAACUUACGGAACACAUAAGAAUGAUACAGAUACUAUUUAAUGAUGACCUAAUACAAGCUUAGAUAGCUAAGGUGAAAGCUUCUAUGGCCUUAACAUUUUCCUCUUGAAGAAUGUAUUUUCUGUAAUAAAAUACAGUGGCUACUUGAAAUCUAUAAACUUAUGUGAGGUCUGGAUAAAUCUGAGCAACUUUCUUCUUUGUGCUCCAGGAACCUACGCACUAUAUAUAUAAAUAAAGCUUAAGUAAACAUCACUGCAA